rfam:Gorilla gorilla gorilla genomic chromosome, chr12, whole genome shotgun sequence
GCUGGGUGUGGUGGUGUGCACCUGUAAUUCCAGCUACUCCGGAAGCUGAGAUGGGAGGAUCGCUUGAGCCCAGAGGUUCAAGAUUGCAGUGAGCUAUGAUAGCACCACUGCACUCCAGCCUGGGUGACAGAGCAAGACCUCGUCUCUA